GAUGAACGCUUGCGGCGUGCCUAAUACAUGCAAGUCGAGCGAACAGACGAGGAGCUUGCUCCUCUGACGUUAGCGGCGGACGGGUGAGUAACACGUGGAUAACCUACCUGUAAGACUGGGAUAACUUCGGGAAACCGGAGCUAAUACCGGAUAAUAUAUUGAACCGCAUGGUUCAAUAGUGAAAGACGGUUUUGCUGUCACUUAUAGAUGGAUCCGCGCCGCAUUAGCUAGUUGGUAAGGUAACGGCUUACCAAGGCAACGAUGCGUAGCCGACCUGAGAGGGUGAUCGGACACACUGGAACUGAGACACGGUCCAGACUCCUACGGGAGGCAGCAGUAGGGAAUCUUCCGCAAUGGGCGAAAGCCUGACGGAGCAACGCCGCGUGAGUGAUGAAGGUCUUCGGAUCGUAAAACUCUGUUAUUAGGGAAGAACAAAUGUGUAAGUAACUAUGCACGUCUUGACGGUACCUAAUCAGAAAGCCACGGCUAACUACGUG
rnacentral:rRNA from 1 species